rnacentral:rRNA from 1 species
UACGGAGGUGGCAAGCGUUGUUCGGAAUUACUGGGCGUAAAGGGCGCGUAGGCGGUCUUCUAAGUCCUGUGUGAAAUCCCUCGGCUCAACUGAGGAACUGCACGGGAUACUGGAAGACUUGAGUUCGGGAGAGGGAAGCGGAAUUCCGGGUGUAGCGGUGAAAUGCGUAGAUAUCCGGAGGAACACCGGUGGCGAAGGCGGCUUCCUGGACCGAUUACUGACGCUGAGGCGCGAAAGCUAGGGGAGCAAACGGG